CUCAGAUUGAACGCUGGCGGCAGGCCUAACACAUGCAAGUCGAAUGGUAACAGGAAACAGCUUGCUGUUUCGCUGACGAGUGGCGGACGGGUGAGUAAUGUCUGGGAAACUGCCUGAUGGAGGGGGAUAACUACUGGAAACGGUAGCUAAUACCGCAUAACGUCGCAAGACCAAAGAGGGGGACCUUCGGGCCUCUUGCCAUCAGAUGUGCCCAGAUGGGAUUAGCUAGUAGGUGGGGUAACGGCUCACCUAGGCGACGAUCCCUAGCUGGUCUGAGAGGAUGACCAGCCACACUGGAACUGAGACACGGUCCAGACUCCUACGGGAGGCAGCAGUGGGGAAUAUUGCACAAUGGGCGCAAGCCUGAUGCAGCCAUGCCGCGUGUAUGAAGAAGGCCUUCGGGUUGUAAAGUACUUUCAGCGGGGAGGAAGGGAGUAAAGUUAAUACCUUUGCUCAUUGACGUUACCCGCAGAAGAAGCACCGGCUAACUCCGUG
rnacentral:rRNA from 1 species